rnacentral:rRNA from 1 species
GAUGAACGCUGGCGGCGUGCCUAAUACAUGCAAGUCGAGCGAACAGACCAGGAGCUUGCUCCUCUGACGUUAGAGGCGGACGGGUGAGUAACACGUGGAUAACCUACCUAUACGACUGGGAUAACUUCGGGAAACCGUAUCUAAUGCCGGAUAAUAUAUUGACCCGCAUUGGUCAAUAGUUAGAGUCGCUUUUUCUUUCACUUAUAGAUUGAUCCGCACCGCAUUAGCUAGUUGGUAAGGUAACGGCUUACCAAGGCUACGAUGGAUAACCGACCUGAGCGGGUGGAUCGACAGACGGGAUGUGAGACUGGGCACAGACUCCGAGGGGAGGAAGCAGCAGGGAAUCCUACGCGAUGGGGGAGAGGGUAACGGAGGACCGUCGGGGGAGGGAUGAAGGACUUCGGACCGUAGAACUAUGUUAUUAGGGAAGAAGAAAUGUGUAAGUAACUAUGAACGUAUUGACGGUACCGGGUCAGAAAGCCACGGCUAACUACGUG